rnacentral:rRNA from 1 species
CUUGACCUCAAAUCGGGUGAACUGUGGUUAAGGAACUCGGCAAAUUGCCCCCGUAACUUCGGGAGAAGGGGGGCCUCCGCUGGUGAUCAGACUUGCUUUGUGAGCUGGUGGGGGUCGCAGAGGCCAGGGGGAAGCGACUGUUUACUAAAAACACAGGUCCGUGCGAAGUCGUAAGACGAUGUAUACGGACUGACGCCUGCCCGGUGCUGGAACGUUAAGGGGACCGGUUAGCGGGACGUAAGUCCUGCGAGGCUGAGAACUUAAGCGCCAGUAAACGGCGGUGGUAACUAUAACCAUCCUAAGGUAGCGAAAUUCCUUGUCGGGUAAGUUCCGACCUGCACGAAUGGCGUAACGACUUCCCCGCUGUCUCAACCGCAGACCCGGCGAAAUUGCACUACGAGUAAAGAUGCUCGUUACGCGCAGCAGGACGGAAAGACCCCGGGACCUUCACUACAGCUUGACAUUGGCGUUUGGAACGUCUUGUGUAGGAUAGGUGGGAGACUGUGAAGCCGUCACGCUAGUGGUGGUGGAGUCAUUGGUGAAAUACCACUCUGGUCGUUUUGAACGUCUAACUUCGGUCCGUGAUCCGGAUCAGGGACAGUGUCUGGUGGGUAGUUUAACUGGGGCGGUUGCCUCCUAAAGAGUAACGGAGGCGCCCAAAGGUUCCCUCAGCCUGGUUGGUAAUCAGGUGUCGAGUGUAAGUGCACAAGGGAGCUUGACUGUGAGACCGACGGGUCGAGCAGGAGCGAAAGCUGGGACUAGUGAUCCGGCGGUGGCAUGUGGAAGCGCCGUCGCUCAACGGCUAAAAGGUACCCCGGGGAUAACAGGCUGAUCUUCCCCAAGAGUCCAUAUCGACGGGAUGGUUUGGCACCUCGAUGUCGGCUCGUCGCAUCCUGGGGCUGGAGUAGGUCCCAAGGGUUGGGCUGUUCGCCCAUUAAAGCGGUACGCGAGCUGGGUUUAGAACGUCGCGAGACAGUUCGGUCCCUAUCCGCUGCGCGCGCAGGAGACUUGAAAGGAGCUGUCCCUAGUACGAGAGGACCGGGACGGACGAACCUCUGGUGUGCCAGUUGUUCCGCCAGGAGCAUGGCUGGUUGGCUACGUUCGGAAGGGAUAACCGCUGAAAGCAUCUAAGCGGGAAGCUCGCCUUGAGAUGAGGUCUCCCACCACGUGAGUGGGUAAGGCCCCCGGGAGACGACCGGGUUGAUAGGCCGGAGGUGGAAGCACGGUAACGUGUGGAGCUGACCGGUACUAAUAGGCCGAGGACUUGACC